GACGAACGCUGGCGGCGUGCUUAACACAUGCAAGUCGAACGGAAAGGCCCUGCUUUUGUGGGGUGCUCGAGUGGCGAACGGGUGAGUAACACGUGAGUAACCUGCCCUUGACUUUGGGAUAACUUCAGGAAACUGGGGCUAAUACCGGAUAGGAGCUCCUGCUGCAUGGUGGGGGUUGGAAAGUUUCGGCGGUUGGGGAUGGACUCGCGGCUUAUCAGCUUGUUGGUGGGGUAGUGGCGUACCAAGGCUUUGACGGGUAGCCGGCCUGAGAGGGUGGCCGGCCACAUUGGGACUGAGAUACGGCCCAGACUCCUACGGGAGGCAGCAGUCGGGAAUAUUGCACAAUGGGCGGGAGCCUGAUGCAGCAACGCCGCGUGCGUGAUGACGGCCUUCGGGUUGUAAACCGCUUUCGCCUGUGACGAAGCGUGAGUGACGGUAAUGGGUAAAGAAGCACCGGCUAACUACGUG
rnacentral:rRNA from 1 species